GGUGACCAUCCACAGGAACAUCUUCUCGUAGACGGCCUUGGCUAGAGCGCCCACGGCGUUGUACACCUUUGUGGACAGAGUAGUGAUUGUUGGCGCUACUGAAGGCAUGUUGUGAAGGCCUGGGACGGCUUAAAAACAAGUGCAGCAAAACAAACCAAACCCAGAAAAGAACCAAACCCUCUCAGUUUCCCAAACCCUAUGGAACAACAGGAAACUCCGGAAUUUGGAGUAUUUCCAAAGGCAGUACAUUUGGAAAAUGCUUCAGAAUCAUUGGGAGGAAAGUGGUAGAUCUUUCUACCCCAAAGGCUCACACUAUUUGCUGUGUCGUUUAACCAUGGAGAGAGAUAGACAGAAUAGAGAUAUGCUGAAGGGCACUCACGUAGAUCAUCCAGGCUGCGUAACGCUCUUUGAGGUUGUACAGCACUCCAGGCUCGUGCAGGAUUUUUCCAGGGUGUUUAAAAAGAUACCCAUAAGAUGUCUAAGGGUUAGUGCUUUGCAGGAGGUCUGUCAGAAUUCAUUCUGUCCCAAAUGGUCCUUCAACCCUGGAACUCAGGCGAGGGGAGAGUGGAGGAGAAGGCGUCCUGGAGCCGCAUUUUCCUAGCAUGCACAAGCAGUCAUUUGGAAGCCCCAGCUGCUCAGGAGGCCUGCACUUCAUCCCCCUGGGUCACUUCCAAGGCUCACCGUUGGAGUCUGGCCUUGGGCAGCAGUGCCUAGGAGGGAGGAGAGUCUCCUCUGCGCCCCCACCAUUGGCCCAGUGCCCACCCCCUCAACACUGAAGAACAUUAGUUCAAUACAGAAUCAUAUGCCUUCAUUGCAGGAAAAAAUGCACAGUUAAGCAGAGAGAAAAAUUGUCUAUAGUCCCAGUAUGCACAGAUAAGAUAAAGAUGUCUAAGUGGCAUCAUGCUAUAUAUGUGAUUAUAGUACCUAUAUGUCCCGUAAUCUACCUAAAAAUGAUAUUGAAGGUAAUUUUCAUAUCAGUGAUAAAAUUGGCACCCUUUUAAAAUAGAGUAUUUUAUGAUUUUUUU